UACGAAGGGGCUAGCGUUGCUCGGAUUGACUGGGCGUAAAGGGCGCGUAGGCGGUUCGUACAGUCAGACGUGAAAUUCCUGGGCUCAACCUGGGGGCUGCGUUUGAUACGUGCGGGCUUGAGUGCGGAAGAGGGUCGUGGAAUUCCCAGUGUAGAGGUGAAAUUCGUAGAUAUUGGGAAGAACACCGGUGGCGAAGGCGGCGACCUGGUCCGAUACUGACGCUGAGUGCGAAAGCGUGGGGAGCAAACAGG
rnacentral:rRNA from 1 species